UCUCCCUCUAUUGCCCAGGCUGGAAUGCAGUGGCGCGAUCAUGGCUCACUGCAGCCUCAGACCCCUGUGCUCAAGUGAUCCUCCCACCUCAACCUCCGGAAUAACUGAGACUACAGGCACAUGCCACUACACCCGGCUAAUUUUUAAAAUUUUUUGUAGGGAUGGGGGUCUCACUAUGUUGCCUGGGGUGGUCUUGAACUUCUGGCCUCAAGAGACCCUACGGCCAAAUAGAUGAAUGAGUAAGAUCUUCAAUAACCACUAUCAGCAAUCAAGAUUACUGAAGAGUCUCUGUCAUGUUCUUCUUACCACCAUCCUUCUGAAAUAUAUAUCGGGUUAUCUCAGUCUAUUUAGUAUUGCUCUGAAGGGAGGCCUGAGACUGGGUAAUUUAGAUAGAGAAACAUGUUUAUUUGGCUUACAAUGCUGGUGUCUGAAAAAGUCCAAGUUUGGGCAUCUGCAUCGGUGAGGGUCUCAGGUUGCUUCCACUCUUGGUGGAAGUUGGAGGGGAGCCAGCGGGUGCAGAAAUCACAUGGAGAGGGAAGAAAAGAGAGAGAGGAAGCGCCAGGCUCUUUUAAACAACCAGUUCUUGCAGGAACUAAUAGAGAACUCACUCACAACCCCCUACAGGGAGGUUAUGAAUCUGUUCAUGAGGGAUCUGCCCCAGGACUCAGCACCUCCCGUUAGACCCCACGUCCAACAUUGGAGAUCAAAUUUCAACUUGAGGCUUGGACAAACAUCCAGACUAUAUCAAGUCUUUGUAUUUAGCUAACACUUUGCUUCCAGAGGCUAAGCCUUUCUCAAGAUCGCCAAACAGCUUACUUUAGGAGAGGUUUUCUUGAAUUUUAGCAUGAGUUUUCCCCUGAGAAUGAACCCUCUGCUGUAGCUAGCGGUCCUUUCUUCUUUCCUCUUCUCACAUUAUCUUUCUCUCUCGCCCUCUUUGGCCUUCUCUUGAUUUCCAGCUGCUCUUUGUCUCAACCCAUUAUUCCAUGAGUGGGGAGACAUUUCCGCUUAUUAAAAUCCCUCCCCCAGAGUUCCCCUAAUCCAGAGGAAUUAUCCAGCUGAGCCAGCCGCCCUGUCUGGGUGCUCAGCCCUCAAAGGGGUCUGUGCAUUUUCUGAGCCUGCUCACCUUCCUAAGUAAAGCUAUGAACUGGAAAUCCUAACCCCAACAGCUAAAGUCUGGAGAGGAAUUUAUUUCCCACAGUUGGUCUUUCCUGGCCAUUUAUCAGGUCAUUCCAAGUCUUGCUUUAGCAAACUGAACCCUCGUGAUUUUUUUUUUACUAAGAUGCCACCACCACGUCAAUGUUUAUAUUUCCUCUGUGUCCUUCUGGGAGGUGGCAGGAGAUAGCAUUAGCUCCAUUUCAAAUCAGAAAGAAACUGGAGGACAUCAAAGUCCCCACAUCAUGUGGUUUAUACAACUCAGAGGCUAAGGAAAGACCUAAAUUUUAAGUGUUCUAUUCAAAGCAUCAUCUUAAAUCAGUAGGCUUCACUGUGUUAUUUGAACCAAUCUAAGCUUUUCCAUUGCCCAUAAGAGGGCUCUUUCCUCAUAUCUGUACUGGGAUUUUCAGCAUAGACCCAUAAACAUGGAGAAGGUCCCCACCACCACCUUUUGCUUUCCUGGUGUUCUUCCAAGCCUGGCUGAAGGCAGAGGCUCCUUUGGCGGCCCGUUUUCAGCACACAGGGGCCUGGGAAUAAGAAAAUGUCCUGUUGCUCUACAGAGGACGCAAACAGUGGAUCAGGAUCCCCAUAGCCUUGCUCCGGUGACUCACCCUUCCUGGUCUGUGGGCGCCUCUGAGUAAGCUUUGUCUUGCUGCUCUGCAGAAGUCUCUGAGAAGGUAUGACUUGCUGAGUUCCUAGGAAAACUGCCUACCCUUAGAAAGUGGAUGUGAGAAGGAAAGCAGCAAGCCGGGAGCAGUCACGCACUGGUGUCCCCAGUGCCCCUGCGGCCCAGGGCGGAGGUGACUGCUGAAGUCAGCCUCCUGGAAUGCCUCCAGGUAACCCUCCCUCCCUAUCAAGGUCAAUGAGUCAGAGGAUAGGAGAGAAGCCGUGAGUAAAACUGCACACCAGGUGAAAGAAAGGGAGGAAAGCCGCAUGGACCCUCCACUCCCAGCAGAGAACAGGGGGUGAGUCACUCAGCUCCGCUCCAGGGCACAGGGCAGGACUCUCGGCUCAAGGCUUCAUCCAGCGAGUCCAGCAUAUUCUCCUCUUCAAACAAAUGGAAACUUUCUGCUGCUCCAUGAUGGGAUCACUCUUUCUGGGCUCCUUGGGAGCAAGUGAGAGGAAGCCCUUACCUGCACCAGCAGCCUCCAUAAGGAAGGGAGCAUCCGAUCAGAGGUACGUCCAAAGAGAAGACUGGCAGCUGAGAGAAGAUGAUGGUGACCCUGAUGGUGGAAUAUGGUUUGUGACCCAAAAACCAGUAGUUUCCACACAGGUGGCACAGCCCUUCCUAAGUGGGCUCCAGGGCCAUGGACCUGAGGCCACAGGCCAAGGUGAGGCUGUGGGGGUCCCACACUGCAGCUGAACAGUGAGGCUGCCUGGAGCCCUGGCAUGGUGCCCAGGGUUCUAAAGCCACUGCUGUGAACAGGGUAGAUCAUCCAGGAGAGCGCCCAGAGGUGGGGAAACAGGCCUGCAGCAGGCGGGGACAUCAGCUGGCCUUGCUGUCCUUUGAUUCUCACAGUUACUGCUUUUUGUUCAAAUGUUACCUUAUUUUUAAUUUUAUUUUUUUAGGGACAGGAUCUCUCCUUGUCGCCCAGGCUGGAGUGUAGUGGCACAAUCUUGGUUCACUGCAGCCUUGAACUCCCAGGCUCAAGAGAUCCCUCCAUCUUGGCCUCCCAAGUGGCUACAACUACAGGCAUGUGCCACCACAAGUGGUUAAGUUUUUUUUUAUUAUUAUGAAUUUUGGUAGAGUUAAGGUCUCGCUAUGUUGCCCAGGCUGGUCUCAAACUCCUGCGCUUGAGCAAUCCUCCUGCCUUGGCCUCCCAAAGUGCUGGGAUAACAGGCAUGAUCUACUGUGCCAGGCGUGUUUUUACAUACUUGGGUCCACACUAUACUCAGCACUCCUCAUUCUACUGGGAGAUGCCAAUUGCACAGUCAGGAAGGGGUGAGUAGAGAGUGGUGGACUUGGCCUCAGCCAUGGUCAAGCCGUGGGGGGUUAGGUGGAGGAGGGCGCCAGCCAGGCAGAAAUAGGUUCUCAGUGUAAGGCCCAGUCAAGUGUCUCAUUCACAGGAGGAAAGCCAUUGAAUUCCGCCUUCCCAUUGCCUCCUCCCACUGUCGCCUCUUAACAACGUGGAGCGAUCUCACUACGCUGGACUUCACCGGCAUCCCAUUGCCCUUUCUUUUCACAUUGGCAAUCUCUCCUCUUGCCAAGUAUCUCUUUAUCUUUCUUCUUCUUUCAUUGAAUCCAGCAUGUAAUUACCGCUGAGCAAGUACCAUGUGCCAAACCCUUUAUUAGGACAGGGGUGCGAAGUCCCAGCCUGCAUGGGCUCCCAAUGGCAUUAGGGAAAUGUCACCGCAUCAUCAGAAGAGUCCAAGAGACAAGUGACGCUCAAUCCAAGAAGAAGAAACAACCGCACAAAGGCUCAGAAUUUGAGAAGCACGCGGCGUUUGGAGAGCCAUGGCAGCUGAGGGUGCCCAGAGCACGCUGAAGCCCAGUCUGCAGGGAUCAUUUAUUUCUACAUCCUCUCACCUGGAUCCUGACUCACUCCUGCUUGUCCUUGAUUUGACCCUGAAGCACCACCCACCCUCCCAUUUUCCCAGAGAAGGGAGGAAAAACCGAAUGAGAUCAGCAGCUACGCGAACGGAGAAACCAACCAUGUCAGGAAUCCUAGCAAAAGUGCUCAACAAAAGCAGGAAGGAUGCAAAAAAAAAAAAAAAAAAAAAAAAAAAAAAAAAGAAAAGAAAAAAAGAAAAAAAAAAUCCUCACACAGGAAGUAGGGAGGCAAAAAGUAGAAAGAGAAAAACAAAUUUAGGUCACCUGUGGAAACUACUAAGUUGUCUAAUGAAACCCAGGAUAUGAGAGCAUGAGUUAGAAAAAGCCGGGAAAAUAAUAAUAGCUAAUAGUUACGUAGUAGUCACUAUAUAAAUAUAUUUCUAAGCAUAAAACAUUUGUUAACUCAUUUAAGCCUCACAGAAGUCCUAUGAGUUGAAUACUAUUAUUAUCCCCGCUUUCCAGAUGGGGAGACUGAGACACAGAGGAGAGAACCUAUAGCUAUAUGCAAUGGGUUAGAAUCAGUAAUCUGGCUGGGCGUGGUGGUUUACGCCUGUAAUCCCAGCACUUUGGGAGGUCAAGGCCAGAGGAUCACCUGAGCCCAAGAGUUGGAGACCAGCCUAGGUAACAGGCAGAUCCUGUCUAUACAAAAAAUAAUUUUAAAAAGCUGGGCACAGUGGCUCGUGCCUGUAAUUCCAGCACUUUGGGAGGCCAAGGCAGGCGGAUCACUUAAGGUCGAGAGUUCGAGAUCAGCGUGACCAACAUGGAGAAAUCCCGUCUCUACUAAAAACACAAAAUUAGCUGGGCCCGGUGGCACAUGCCUGGAAUCCCAGCUUCUCGGGAGGCUGAGGCAGGAGAAUCGCUUGAAACCGGAAGGCAGAUGUUGCGGUGAGCCAAGAUCGUGCCAUUACACUCCAGCCUGGACAAUAAGAGCGAGACUCUGCCUCCAAAAUAAUAAUAAAAUAAAAUUUAAAAGUUAAAAAAUUUAAAGAAAUUAGUUGGUUGUGAUGGUGCAUGCCUUUAGUCUCAGCUACUUGGGAGGCUGAGGAGGGAGUAUGACUUGAGUCUGGGAGAUGGAGGCUGCAGUAAGCCAUGAUUAUGCCACUGCACUACAGCUUAGGUAAAAGAGCAAGACUCCGUCUCAAAAAUAACAAUAAAAAUAAAAAAGAAUUAGUAAUCUGCAUCUAACACCAAUUUACAAUGAAUAAGUAUGUAAGGGGUUUGGGAAUCUUCCCUCUCAUUCUCUUCCUAUAUAACUUUCCUGCUCUUCUCACCAGCCAGCGUUGCAUUAGCUAGAGUAUGUUGACAGUGCUGUCUGAAUACAUCAACUCUGGGACCCAGACGUGGCUUUGGCAAACAGCAGUCUAUUUCCACGAAAACCCAAGUGACUCCCGGGGAAGAAAAAUACACACAUAAGUAAAACUUGUCCCAAGGGGAAAGAGGAGCAGGCCGGCCCAUGUCUUCCAAGACUGAAGAGUCAGUUAUCCGGGAGAAGAAUGGCUGUGUUUGUCUUUCAGAUCUUUCCCUGGUCCAGCCUAGUGGACUCAUGCCUGAAUCUUAUUUUAAAUAGAGUAGGGGCUGGGUGCGGUGGUUCACACCUGUAAUCCCAGCACUUUGGGAGGCUGAGGCAGGUGGAUCACUUAACGUGAGGAGUUCGAGACCAGCCUGGGGAACAUGGUGAAACCCCAUCUCUACUAAAAAUACAAAAAUUAGCCAGGUGUGGUGGUGGGAGCCUAUAAUCCCAGCUACUCAGGAGGCUGAGGUGGCAGAAUGAAUCGCUUGAACCUGGGAGGUGGAAGUUGCAGUGAGCCGAGAUCGUACCACCAUACUCCAGCCUGGGCGAUAGAGGGAGACUCUGUCUCAAAAAAAAAAAAAAAAAAAAAAAAAAAGAGUAGAGGUAAUCAUAUAAUUAAAAGUGAAAAUGCCUGUUUCUCAAAACCUUUGGGUAUAAGCUUUAUACCCAAACUUCUGGACCAGUUUAAUGGAGUACAGCCCUCAAAGGGAGGCAAGAAUUCUCUCCCACUUUUCCAAGGAAUAUUAUGCAGUUCAGCAUCUCCUCCCCAACCCUGAGGUUCCAGUACCUCAGCAUCUGCUGUAUGGGCUCUAGGGUGUCUGCAGUGAAAGCAGCUAAUUGGAGGCAGUGAUGUCAAGCAGGGCCAGAGAGGGUGGCAGGGGCUGCAGCACCAGCAGCCAGGCGAUGCUCAGCCUGAGCAUGGCCAAUGCACCCUGUGUAGCAUCCAGGAGAGGCAGCACAUCCCUACCAGAGCCAUGGUACAAAAUACAAGCCACCUGGGUAUCUGGAAGCGAGGGUGGGGCUUGGUAAUAAUUACUAAAGCAUGCAGCACAGCAACAGCCAAAGAGAAGAAAGGGAAAAAAGUGAAAUAUGUAAUCUUAUUCACAAAUAAAUAUAAGAACAAAUUCCACUGAAUCCCUGAAAACAAAAUGUGGGGCGAGGGCAGUAAACGCAACUGACUACUGUAAAUGCAACCUCACCUUAAAAGAUUACCAACUAGCUAAGCAUGGUGGCCCACGCCUGUAAUUCAAGCACUUGGAGGCUGAGGUGGG
rnacentral:lncRNA from 1 species